rnacentral:lncRNA from 1 species
UAAUUUAUUUUUUUUAGCUCAGUAGGAGUAUUUGCAAACAACAUUUAGGUAAACGUCAUUAUAUACAAUAUAUGAUGUUUUGAUUUUAUGAGAAGUUUUAAAUGUGCAAUGUAUUUUACCCUAACCAUUGAACCGUUGGAAAUAGAACGUGUUUUGAUCAAGAAUCUUGAAGUAAAUGUAUGCGAGGAUCGCGACAAGUAAAAUAUGUAAAGUCUGUCCACUUAUACGGGAAAGUGGCAUCAUCAUUUUAGAUUUGGGGGUUAUAUCAAUAUCCAUGUCGUGUUCAUGAAUAAUCUCGAAAAAAGUAUUAAAUGUAUGUUAAAGAGAUUAUAAUAAAAAUUAAAUGUCAAAACUUCAAAUCUCAGUGCAUCCGAAUAUCCGAUUUCAUUAUUGAUUGCGAAAAUCUGUUAUUGACAUAGAAAAAAAAUCUUGGCUUUUAAGUUUACUGAAAAAUAUCGAUUUGUUACAUAAUAAUAUUGAUACUGAUAAAUUUUUGGUAAAUUUAAAGUUGUAAAUAUUAUUCUGGCGGAAAAGUAAUAUGAUGUGCCUUUAUAGAAUUAUUAAAUUAUUUAUUUAAAAGUGUAAAUUAACGUAAUCCACCUUAAAGUUAACGUAAGCUUGAAGUGUAAUUAUUUAAACAACAAUUUUCUCGACGAUCUCUGACAACAAAUUAUCGUGUAUGUAUAAUUCAUACUAACAAUAUAAAUUCAAAAAUUAAUUCUAAUUAACACCAGCUUUAAGUUCUAUGUAUAUAACAUAUAUAAUAAAACAAUUGUUUUAA